UGCUAGUGCUGCCUCGGGACUGAACC
rnacentral:piRNA from 1 species